AUCAAGUAUACAAAGGGGUCGACGCAUCAUCUUCUUCAUCUGUUUUGGGGAUCGGGAGGAACGAACGAAUCGGAAGCGAUGAAGGAGUUCCAAUGGUGGUCAUUCAAAUCGCGAGGAGGGACGGGGAGGUCGAUCUCCGGUGAGUCCUUCGUCGUCUUCUCCACAGAUCAAGGAAGGGGAAAGGAUCGAACGGUUGAAGAAGCAAACUGAGGUGGUUCGGUGAUGGUUGUCGUCAACAGCUGUGAUUGCGAGGGGGCUGUUCCGGUGAUGAACCGUAGCAGCGAUCAGUCUCCGACGAGCCUUCCUUGGUGCGUUUGGUUCGUCGGCAGCCACAGCUCGAGAAAAGGAAAGCACAUCGACAUUCAGGGGGCUUGGGUGGUUCCAAUCGAAGAAACUGGCGAAGGGCGAAGGAUAGAUGGAAGGAGGUGAUGAAGGUGGUGGUUUGCGAUGCCGAAAAUGGUAAGCCGAGGGCGGCAGUAGGCGUCUCCGGAGAUCCUCGUGUUUCUUCUUUUCUGGCCCGAUCGACAAUCACGAUGUUUCCCCAUUGCUUUGGCAGUUCCGAUCAACAAUAGAAAUUGAUAUAGGAGAAGGAUGUUUGGGUUUGAGCUUCUUUGACUGGAGGAGGGGCUGCUGCUCCUUAGCUCACCGGGAAACCACAAGAAAACCACCUCCAAUGGAGGUGCUCUUGGCUUUGCAUAGAAACAGAAAGAAGGGAGAGAAAGAGUGAGUUUGUGACUUUCCUAUGUGAUCAAAAGCAGAUAUCUAGAAGUUCUUGAGAUAUUGGAAGUACUUGGAAAUCUCUUGGAGGAUUGUGGAGGUACAUCACUAAUUUGCCCAUGUGUGAGAGGGUUUGUGUUUAUUGUCAUUGAUAUAGUAACGUUUAGUGAUCUAGUUCAGAUUUUCAGUUGACUUUGAUGAUAAACUUGUGUACAACAAGUUUUGGGAAUGAUCUUGUGUAGAUUGCAUUGCAUAUUAUUGGCUUUUAUUUGUACAUGUAGGUGUUUUGGUGAUUAAGAAAACUGGUAACAUAAAUGUACCUAGUUAUGUAUUUUGUUGAAUUUCUAUUAGUCUUCAUAUGUAUUAAUAGUUUCCUUAGUCAUA